rnacentral:rRNA from 1 species
UACGGGGGGAGCAAGCGUUGUUCGGAUUUACUGGGCGUAAAGGGCGCGUAGGCGGCCUUCUAAGUCGAACGUGAAAUCCCUGGGCUCAACCCAGGAACUGCGUCCGAUACUGGAAGGCUUGAAUCCGGGAGAGGGAUGCGGAAUUCCAGGUGUAGCGGUGAAAUGCGUAGAUAUCUGGAGGAACACCGGUGGCGAAGGCGGCAUCCUGGACCGGCAUUGACGCUGAGGCGCGAAAGCCAGGGGAGCAAACGGG